UGACGGCGUGCGGGAGAGUGCUUUCCCUCCUCACGGAGAAUGGCCGCCGAAGGAGCAACCCCCCGGGAACCUCUCAGGCCCAUGAACCGCACGCUCAGG
rnacentral:ncRNA from 2 species